rnacentral:rRNA from 1 species
GAUGAACGCUGGCGGCAUGCCUAAUACAUGCAAGUCGAGCGAACAGACGAGGAGCUUGCUCCUCUGACGUUAGCGGCGGACGGGUGAGUAACACGUGGAUAACCUACCUAUAAGACUGGGAUAACUUCGGGAAACCGGAGCUAAUACCGGAUAACAUGUUGAACCGCAUGGUUCAACAGUGAAAGACGGUCUUGCUGUCACUUAUAGAUGGAUCCGCGCCGCAUUAGCUAGUUGGUAAGGUAACGGCUUACCAAGGCAACGAUGCGUAGCCGACCUGAGAGGGUGAUCGGCCACACUGGAACUGAGACACGGUCCAGACUCCUACGGGAGGCAGCAGUAGGGAAUCUUCCGCAAAGGGCGAAAGCCUGACGGAGCAACGCCGCGUGAGUGAAGAAGGUCUUCGGAUCGUAAAACUCUGUUAUUAGGGAAGAACAAAUGUGUAAGUAACUAUGCACGUCUUGACGGUACCUAAUCAGAAAGCCACGGCUAACUACGUG